CAGUAGCCGCGGUAAUACGUAGGUGGCAAGCGUUAUCCGGAAUUAUUGGGCGUAAAGCGCGCGUAGGUGGUUUUUUAAGUCUGAUGUGAAAGCCCACGGCUCAACCGUGGAGGGUCAUUGGAAACUGGAAAACUUGAGUGCAGAAGAGGAAAGUGGAAUUCCAUGUGUAGCGGUGAAAUGCGCAGAGAUAUGGAGGAGCACCAGUGGCGAAGGCGACUUUCUGGUCUGUAACUGACGCUGAUGUGCGAAAGCGUGGGGAUCAAACAGGAUUAGAUACCCCUGUAGUCCCUGUCUCUUAUAC
rnacentral:rRNA from 1 species